GACGAACGCUGGCGGCGUGCUUAACACAUGCAAGUCGAACGGGAAGAGAUGAAGAGCUUGCUCUUUAUCGAAUCCAGUGGCAAACGGGUGAGUAACACGUAAACAACCUGCCUUCAGGAUGGGGACAACAGACGGAAACGACUGCUAAUACCGAAUACGUUCCACGGGCCGCAUGACCUGUGGAAGAAGGGGUAGCCUCUACCUGUAAGCUAUCGCCUGAAGAGGGGUUUGCGUCUGAUUAGGCAGUUGGUGGGGUAACGGCCCACCAAACCAACGAUCAGUAGCCGGUCUGAGAGGAUGAACGGCCACACUGGAACUGAGACACGGUCCAG
rnacentral:rRNA from 1 species